AACAAAUCGAUCAGAUAGACAAAAUUUUAUGUCGUAUUGGUGUGACGAAGAAUUGCAAAAUUUGAAUAAGCGGUUAAGCACAAUGAAGUUUGUCUCGCGGAGAGUUUUCAUUAUUGGAAUGAUACUUUUACUAUCAAUUUCGGAUAUUAAUGGAGCUCACAUGAGACACAGACGCCAAGCUGACAGUGACGGUAAAAGCCAAUUAGAUUGGCAAACAAUAAUAAAGGAUGUUCUUAAAAUACCGCUCAUGGGCGAUAGCUUACACAGGGCACUUGUAGACUUGGGCGAGUCAGUGAACAAGCUCGAUCGAUUUACGAAUGGGACGCUUUCAAGGAUUUCCAAUGACUAUCCUCCGUGCACAAUUGAUAUGCGAGGAGUCCUAUGUACUGGCAAACCAAAAAACGGCGGCAUCGUAGGAAUUACAACAGAACUUAUUAAUGACACUAUGUUACCGAAACUUGCUAAGUCAAUGAUGAUUAAUUUUCUCCAUACGACCGUCUUCCCGUUUUUCGCUGCAAUGUUCGGCCUUCCUGAAAUGUCAUACGAGAACAUGUAAAAUAUUUGGCGCUUUACCUUACCGGUACCACCUACAAUUGUGCUAUUAUAGGCAAAUCUUUAUGAGCGCUUUUGUGGAUCUAAUAACUUUCGAGUAACAAAAUAAAUUUGUAACAUUGCUGUUUCGAAGUUGCUUUCGAUUCCUCGAAACGUUUAGCGAUAAAAAGCAUGGACAUGGAAUAUUUAUUUGCAAGUGAAUUCAAGAAAUGUAAACGUCUAGUUUGACGUCUUACUGAAAAAGCGAUAAACGCUUCCUCAAGUAAUUCUUUCUAGGAGUCCAUUGGAAUUUUGCAUAUCACGCUUUUGAAAAUUCUCGAGUGAUUUGUACAAGUCAAUGCUAACUUAUAAAAGAAAUGUCGGAGUUAACCGAUUUGCCAGUCAAUUUGCACAGAUCUCAAGUGGAUUUCUAUUAUACAAAAUGCAGUCUGUAGGAAAAUCUGCUAUAAUUUUAUUCGUAGCUCACUUGAUGGCCGUCCAUUUCACCAAUGCAAAAAGUAUUGCAAGACGCGACACGAAGAUUGAUUAUUUUGAUAAUAUCGUCGAACAGCUGGAUAAAUUAAGGAAGAUGCCACUUUUCGGUCAAUCUAUUGAGCCAUGGAUUACUCAGGUCCUAAAUAUACUUGAACAAUCCAACCAACUCUCCGACAAGAGCCUUGGCAAAGUCUUCAACAGCAUGAUGCCUUGUAACUUCAGUUAUAAAUUUAUUACUUGCAAUGGUACUUUGGACAUAGACAAUGCUAAAUUGUUGGCCAAAAAGAUAUUGUUUUUUCUAGUUCCAAAUGUGAUGCCUGAAAAAUAUACGUCUAUAAGGUCCAUUUCGCCGCAAGAGUGAUAUGAAGUAAGAAUUUCACGAAGACAGUUAAUUAAUUUGUAACGUAUAUAAUCAACAUUGUGUGUAGAGCUACA